rnacentral:tRNA from 2 species
ACGGAUAUGACGGAAUUGGUAGACGUACUAGAUUUAGAUUCUAGAGAUUUUAUUGAGUCGUGAGGGUUCGAAUCCCUCUAUCCGUA